rnacentral:ncRNA from 2 species
AAUAUUGAUUGUCUCCGAGCUUUUUUGCCUAAGGUUUACUACGGUAAGAUUGCCGAUUAGGGUUAUACUGGAAACGGUUUGGCCUCCCACUGGAAAGGAGAUACGGUCUGUACAUG